AAUAAGUGCAGUUUUGCAUUGUUCAUGCUCAAUGUUUGACCGUCCGUCUUAUUUAAAAUUUUUUUAUAAUUAGUAUUUUUGUUGUUAUUAGAUGAUAAAACAUGAAUAGUACUUUAUGUGUGAUUAAUUUUUUAAUAAAUUUUUUAAAUAAGACGGACGGUCAAACGUUGAACACGGAUAUCCACGACUGCGCUUAUU
rnacentral:pre_miRNA from 1 species